AUUGAACGCUGGCGGCAGGCCUAACACAUGCAAGUCGAACGCGAAAGUCCUUCGGGAUGAGUAGAGUGGCGGACGGGUGAGUAACGCGUAGGAAUCUGCCCUGUAGUGGGGGAUAACCCGGGGAAACUCGGGCUAAUACCGCAUACGCCCCCAGGGGGAAAGCGGGGGAUCUUCGGACCUCGUGCUAUAGGAAGAGCCUGCGUCGGAUUAGCUAGUUGGUAGGGUAAAGGCCUACCAAGGCGACGAUCCGUAGCUGGUCUGAGAGGAUGAUCAGCCACACCGGAACUGAGACACGGUCCGGACUCCUACGGGAGGCAGCAGUGGGGAAUAUUGCGCAAUGGGCGAAAGCCUGACGCAGCCAUGCCGCGUGUGUGAAGAAGGCCUUCGGGUUGUAAAGCACUUUCAGUGGGGAGGAAAGGGCGCUGGCUAAUAUCCAGCGCAGUUGACGCUACCCACAGAAGAAGCACCGGCUAAUUCCGUGCCAGCCGCCGCCGUAAAAC
rnacentral:rRNA from 1 species